AAUAUGUUGACCUGGUAAAAAUGCCUGUAGGCUCAGCCAAGAUAUGGCUUUAAAAGUCUCUUUAAUUUUUAUUUUGUGGUUCAGAUGCUAAAAAGAAAAAGGAAAACCUUUAACCUAAGCGUUGCUUUGAAAGUGGUGAACUAUCCCUUUAACAAACUGCCUGCUCGGAAGCUAGCAGUCGGAAGCGAACUUCAUCGUCGUGGCCGAGGAGCUACUCCUAUUUACAACAACAUAAUGGAGCCCAGAUGGACGAAGAACGUUUGCAUGGCUGUUUUAUGGUCUGGGUGUUUGCUAUGCGUUAUAUUUGUCACAGGACCUGCAUAUGCAAUCACCGUAUACGCUGACUCUGAAGUGAUAGUGCAGAACGGCACAACGGCAGUCCUGCGAUGCACCUUUGACUCCAGUGAAGUGGUGACCAAAGCCACCAGUGUGAGCUGGAGCUUCCAGUCGAAUCAGCCCGACAGUCUGUACUACUCAGCUCCAUACGUGAUUCUUUACUUUGCCGACGGAAAAGCAUAUCCAGGACAAGAAGAUUUUAAACACAGGGUUCAGUUUGUGGGAGACAUCAACAAGAAGGACGCCUCGUUACAGCUGAGUCCGGCUCAGUUCAGCGACAACGGGACCUUCUUCUGCGACGUGAAGAACCCGCCCGACGUGUCGGGAACUCAGGGCCGAACGGAGCUCAGGGUUGUUCAGAAAGAUGAGUCAGUCAGCAGCAGCUCAACCCCUUGCCCCCAUCCCUGUGGAAAAGCAGAGUCUCUCCCUCAGACCAACACUAAGAUUGUAAUCUUAGCAGUGUGUGGUGCUUUAAUUCUGCUCAUCGCCGUCGCUAUAGCUGCCUGCUUCGCCGUACGGGUGAUUCAAAACCGGCACGAUUACGAAGGAUGUACGUCCCUGGAAGGCGCGAGCUCUGAAGCUCCGCGGCCGCUAAAGAAGGCGGAGUCCAGCCGGGAGGGCAGCAGGUCGACCGGCCCCUCGGGUCCGCUGCAGGCAUGUUGUCAGGUCUGUCAGAAGUGAAGACCCAGAUUUACGAUUGGUUCUGGUGUGCUGCUUCGUCAGUCUAUUCUUUGAGCUACAGGGAGCCAGUGUAAGAACGCUAGAACUGGGAUGAAGUGCUCUAUCUACUUGGUUUUAGUGAGAACAUGAGCAGCAGCGUUCCAGUUCAACUGCAGCUGCAAGAUUGAUUUUUUUUUUAGGGCCCGGUGAUAUACGUCCAGUUGGAUCACUCAGGCAGUAAAAACUCGUUCCAUAAGAUGGAGCCCGUGGUCUACGCUGACAUCCGUAAAAACUGAAGAUGGGGACCAAAACAAAACAAAAAAACUAAAAGAAAAGAAAAAAACAAAAGAAAACAUAGUAAAGUAUGAGACCUCUCAUUUAGCUGCUCUUGGGAAGGGUGGGAAAGGUUUUAACAGGGACAGAACUGGUGCAGUUUCUCUCUCUACUCUUUUCUUUCUCCAUAUUUUCUCUUAUGAAAGCAUGUUAUAUGAUAAACUAAUGUAUUAGUUGUUGACUUAAAGAAAAAAAAAAAAGCUACGAAAAGACUCCAGUUGAUACUACAUCAUAUCAGCCUUUAAAAAGUUCUCCAACACAGGGAUCAAAGUAAAAAAUAAUGCCUUCAUUGACAUCAUUCCAAGUGUAAAUUAUUUUAUUUUAACCCUUGAAUUGCUGUGCCCCCCACACACCCACCACUUAACCACCUGAUAGCCUCAGACAUGCUCAGCAUUUCACAGAUCUGCAGGCUGUUGCACCAAGUCAGCUAACAUUUACUGACUUCCAUAUCUUAACAAGCGAAGGCUAAGAUUUCUGUUUCAUCAAAUGAAUGAUCAGUUUCAGUGAAAGAAAGCGCCAUUGCUCACUAGAUAAUUAAAACUGCUUGUGAGCAUGCUGUAUGAAGAUCAGUUUAAUGACUCAUUUAUCUCAAUUUGAUGGAGAACAAUGUUUUUGUUUCAUACAAAGUUAUAUGCAUUUUUUAAGUUAAAGAGUUGUACGUCGGCUGACAUCAGAGUAGGGCUGAAUCCCAUUAAGUUUAACUCUCAACCUCCAAUGAUAAAUGUGUGAAAUACACCCUAAGGAAGCAGGAAACUCCUUGUGAUUUAUUACAGUUAAAUAAAAUAUGUUUUUACCGGAUUUCAGACACAGGAAAACAUACUUAGCUGCUUUUUGAUUUGCGUCUUUGUCGUUUUGGUCACCUCAAACCUGAUGUUUGGCAUUUAAGAUGUUCCGUACCAACCAGAUGUCAACUUGCUUACCUUGGAGACGUUUCAUACUCACGACUACAAAUUAACAGUAUUUUAUACUGAUAACCCACUGUAAAAACAUGUUUACCAAUAAAUCCUAGGUAAAAACAUAUUUUUACCUAUUUAUUGUGGGUGAGUCAGUCUCACCCACAAUAGAUGAAAAUAGAUAAAAAUCUUGAAAAUCUUCCACAAAAAAACAUAUGGAUUGAAUUACAAGGUAGAUGUUUAGACCGUUUCUGUAAUUCAUUCAAAUCUCUGUGCCGUAUUAACCCCUUACAGGAGAGCCCCGGUUAACGAGGGUAUGUUUAACCUACUGCUUGAAUUACAUCCUGGCACAUCAGAGACGGGAGGAAAAUGGGAUUCAGCCAAACGAGCUCAGAUUGUUUCCUAAAAGUCAGGUUCUGCUCCUCAUUUAAGAUCCUGACAUCAUGGUGCUUUGAGUCAACAAUGUUUACCCUGAUAAGAUGCAGGCAAUGUCAAACUUAAAAAAAAAAAAAAAAAAGCAACGGUACAGAAGUUAAAAGUGCGCUGUAAAUACACAACACUGUCUGUGCUUUCUCUGGUGAUGAACUGAGAGAGGCGACUAAACCUACAGAGAAAAAAGGUAGAGUUUAGAAAGAUGGUAAAAAUGAAGCUACUUUUCAAUUAUUUUAUGUCGGUUUUCUUUAUCUGAUGAUGGCUGUGGGUUUUUUCCAUACCUGACAGUCAGGUAGACUCGGUUCAUUUAGGAACCAAACUGCAACAUUUGCUAAAUUAUCAGCUGCUGUAGUUCUCUUUAACAACACUGCACUGUCUCAAAUAAACCAAAGUCUUUGAAAAACCUGUUUCCCUCCUCGCCUGUGGUAGCGCUGCACCACGAACCGCUGAAGGGAAUGUGAAGGCAACUUCUUUCUUUGCAAAAUGUAGACAUAAAUGAAGUUGAGUCAGAUUUUAGCGGUUGUAGGAUUUCUCUCAUGGCUUUGCCUGCUGGUGCUAGACUUGUGCGAUUUGAUUUGUUUUCUUUUUACCCAGAAUCCCUCAUGCUGCAAUCCGCUUCCUGCUUCUGGAGUGGUCUUCAGUCCAAUUGGCAUUCACAUAAGCAUCCAAACCAGGCCAGAGUUCACUUCAGACCGAAGUUUGUGGGCGGACCAGAGUUUGCUUUUUUUGGUCUGCUUCAGAGUUCGAUUAACUCCUCUCAAAACGAACCAGACUUUCUAGGCGAACCGACUGCAGUUUUGUUAAAGCAGACUAAACAGGGCUGGAGUGAACGGAGCCUUUAGGUAGAGCGUUCCCAUUUGUGCACCUUACAAACAGAGCAGUGCAAGAAAAAGAUCCGUCCAAACCUAUGACUAUAUGCACUAAUUAAACUUUUUAAUGUUUUUAUCCAAAAGGUUACAACACGUGCAGAAUUUUUUUAAUUCCGGUUUGCAGCACAGUUUCAGGAAUUUAAACACUACUAAUACCAUUUUAAACUCUUAGCAACAGUUCAUUAGAUGUGAUGGAUUAAAACAAAAACAUAUUCUUAAGCAUUUGGCUGCAGAGGAUAAUUUUGAGCUAAAAUAGGGACUCAAAAUUUAGUCAAACUUGAAGCAAAAUACCUCUGUUGACAUUUUGAUACAGUCUAGUUAGAAGUACAGCUUGCUGGUAAAAUAAAUCUAAAGUAGCCUUUCGGGUGCAACAGUCUGCAGAAGCCGCAGUUGAUCUCCAUCAUGGGCAUCUCCAUCGUGAUCUUGUUUUGUAGAGGCGUAUAGUAAUGUAAAGUUAGAUAUUGGCCCACAGUAACAUUGCAUGCAGUUCUAGUAACAUCUAGGAAGUGAAGUGAAGUUGGUACUGCUCACCCAGCUAGUGUUUUGCGCAGAAGAAGCCGCCUGACGUCGUGUUACUGUGAAUGCUUCAGCUUUCUGUGAAGUUCUGGCAUGUUGUCGUGGUACCCGUUGAAAAAAAAAGAAACGUAAAAAAAUAAUACGUAAACUCCCUUUUUGGAUUUUCACCUCAGCAGCUUAAAAAAAAAAUCAAGCAUUUUGGGUUUAAUUUCAUUUGAAUAAUUGCGGGAGUUUUGGUUAUUCAGCGUCAUGUUAAAUUAUUUGCUUUUUGAAUAAACUAGGCAUGUUAAUAAAUGUUGCGCUGAGGGGACGUUUUCCUCUUUUUAUAAAAAACAGGGAGAUGUCAUUUUGCAUAACAAAACAACUUCUAAACACACGGUUUGCAUGCAAUUUACUAACAACAAGCAUUUUUUUAUUUUCCCCCAGAUGUCUAAUGUUUUCUGGUUUUCCUCAUUAGCGGGCCAAAUAUGAACAGUUUUACUUUACAGAUAGUUUUGAACUUUAAAUGCAUUCCAAGUUAUUUUUUUUAUUUCCUGUUGUCUUAAAGCAUUUUAAAGCCAAAUUUGUUUCCAAUUAUGUUGACGUUUUGUUGUGCAACCAGUCUGAAAGCCAUCAGCUCAUGGUCUCGAAUGCAGUAAUUUUCCAUAAUUGUGUUUGUUUGCUUAACAGUUGAAAAUGUCGUGCUGUUUACUGUAAGUCAUUCCAGUGUGGUGUGCCUGUGGGUGUCUUUCCAGAGGAAGGACGGUAGUUUGCUGAAGAGGUCCAGAAAGAUGCUGAUUUGUUUGUUGUUUUUGCUUAAAGUCUUAAUUCUUUGUAACCAGACACUAAAACCUACACAGUGCCUGCAUAGAGUACUGGUGUGAAUGCUUCAAAAUGGUCAGACUUCUUCUUUUAGUAAACACUUUAGUCCUCUAACCAGAAUAGCAUGUGAGCAGCAUUUCCUUUAAUAAGAUCAGUCCAAGUACAUGCUGUAUAUUAACCAAUAUAGGCUCAUCUAAAUGAUGGAAACAACUUUUUCUACCUCAACAAAAUCCAAUUUUAGCAGUCAGAUGAAAAAAAACAACAAAAAACAACAAAACUGUAAGAACUCCCAGCAGCGACAGUCCUGGCCACACAAGCGAACCUUAAAAUCAAACCUCAAACUUUCCUCUUUCCAACAGCAUCAGUAUCUCACUGAACCACGAGACAAAGAAAAGAAAAAUAAUGCUUAUUUCACAAAGCCAAAAAACAUAAAUAGCGUCUUACGUUUGCUCUUUGGUGGUAAUAGUUCGUGUUGGAGUAAAUAUGUCCUCUCUGCUCCUGUAAUCGUUUAUUUCUGGGUGCUUUCUGACGGGUUUCACCUUUUUUAGCGGCAGAUGCACUUCCAUCGCUUUGACUGGUGAAUGACGUUGUGAAUAAUUGACGGUUCAAUGGACGGGUCAAUCAUCCAAAUUGCCCAGUGUGCUCCAGAAAUUUCCCUCUGUAGUUUACAAUGUCUGACCUGAGUACCGAAUGCUUUGACCCGCUGAGCUCAGAAUACUUAUAGAAGUAUUCUUUUAAUAUUGGUUUCAUUGCAAAACCAGUUAUUACAUAGAAUGACUAACCAAGGAUGAUAUAUAGGUGGUAUGGAAAAUAACCAGAAACUUCAAAUGGUACAGACGGUACCAAAUUGUUCUAAAAUUGCUCCUUUGGAAGGGUCACAUAGAGUUUUAUCAACUAACUCGUCCCCCAAAUUUCUAUGCUUAGCUGUUUUUAUUUACUGGAUUUUGGUACAUAAAUGGUCAGGUUCUGUGCUGCGGUUUUCUAAAUGUUUUGGAUUGCAACUACAUAUUUUGAACAGGAUAUUGGCAUCACAAAGUACUUUUUUGGGGCAAAUUCCGGCUGUGUGCCAUACUCAUUUACUUGUAUUCAGUAAUAUGAGUGUAGAUUUUUAGACCCCUUACGUUUUCUCUGGAGUCUUACUUUUUAUUUUGAUACCAAAACAACUCAAAUUAAACUUGCGUGCAAUAAAUAUAAUACAAUUUAUUUUGGGCCAUGCACGCCGUGCUAAUCUAACAAAAAUAGAUCAGUCCUUUUGCAGUGAAGGAUGUAUUAGGCAAAAACGGAGAAAAAACCUUUCAUUUUUACAUAAAAACCCCAGAAUUUUUCUCAGGGUUGAAACUAAGCUGAACAUUCCGUCCUAAACUCUUUCAAAAUAAAAUCCCAAAACAGAAACUGUGAUAUUAUAAAAGCCAUAAAAGGUAUCAAAACGCAAAUGGAGUGACUCCAAGUCCAUCUUCCCUAGAUAUGUUUGAACUUUAGUUGGUGUUUCUUCUGUAAUAUAUGCCUCAAUAGGGGAGAUCCAAAAAAAGGGCUGUGUAAUUUCUUUCUUUUAUUUUAUUUUUUUCUCUUCUUUGUCAGUUUAUGAACCUUUACGACUAAAUUACAAAAGAAAUCCUUAUUUUGACCAUUUUAACUCCAAACAAUGCAGGCACUGUGUCGUCUUCCACUUGACCCGUCUUGUUCGUCCUGGACCCAACAGGAAGUGUUCGGUUCUUCUUUUGUUUUCCCUUGCCGCUCAGCACCAUGCAUGUUACGGACUAACCCGACAGGAAAAGGAACAAAAAUACUGACAAAAACCCUUUACUGCUGGUCACCUGGCUUCUAAUCGUGACUUGUCGCAGUGUUUAGUGACGUUGUAAAAAUUGUGAUGUAAACUAUAAAUUAUGAAAGACUCCCGAUCCGGCUGAGCUCGCGCACGGCCGCCAGGGUUUCGGGUGUUACGCAGGGCUGGACGGUUCAGUCACGUCGAGUCUUGCGGAGCGUGCUCUGUGUUUUUCGAUGGUUAGGUAGUUGUGUGUUAUUUACGAAUUGUUUGGUAUGUUGUGUGAAAUCUGCACUAUGUCUUGCGUAACAAAGACAACGAAUGCCCUGUGAUUGUUUUGUUCUGUUUCCUCGAAAUAACCAUGGCCUCUGUUCAAUGUCUUUAAAACUGGAAUGUUGUACAUUUAGUGCCUUUUUACAUUUCAUCAGCUAACUUGAACAUCUGCUCAAAAAUAGAAGAUAAGAUUCAUUUAUUUUCCUUUUAUUGUAUGUAUUUUUUUAUACACAUAAUAUCGCCUCUGUAUCCACUGUUCAAAUUUUAUAUAAAACCUACUCCCGGUCAAUAAAACAAAGUUUCUGCUCGUUA